rnacentral:tRNA from 1 species
GAUCGCGUAGCAGAGUAGAUAUCGCGUUAGUAUCCGGAUUGAGAUGUCGGGGGUUUGAAUCCCACUGCGGUCG